rnacentral:rRNA from 1 species
GACGAACGCUGGCGGCGUGCCUAAUACAUGCAAGUAGAACGCUGAAGGAGGAGCUUGCUUCUCUGGAUGAGUUGCGAACGGGUGAGUAACGCGUAGGUAACCUGCCUGGUAGCGGGGGAUAACUAUUGGAAACGAUAGCUAAUACCGCAUAAUAGCAGUUGUUGCAUGACAACUGUUUGAAAGGUGCAAUUGCACCACUACCAGAUGGACCUGCGUUGUAUUAGCUAGUUGGUGGGGUAACGGCUCACCAAGGCGACGAUACAUAGCCGACCUGAGAGGGUGAUCGGCCACACUGGGACUGAGACACGGCCCAGACUCCUACGGGAGGCAGCAGUAGGGAAUCUUCGGCAAUGGACGGAAGUCUGACCGAGCAACGCCGCGUGAGUGGAGAAGGUUUUCGGAUCGUAAAGCUCUGUUGUAAGAGAAGAACGAGUGUGAGAGUGGAAAGUUCACACUGUGACGGUAGCUUACCAGAAAGGGACGGCUAACUACGUG